GAUGAACGCUAGCGGCAGGCUUAAUACAUGCAAGUCGUGGGGCAGCAGGACUGUAGCAAUACAGUUGCUGGCGACCGGCACACGAGUGCGGAACACGUACGCAACUUACCCUGAACUGGGGGAUAGCCCGGGGAAACCCGGAUUAAUACCCCGUAAUAUAAUGGAGUGGCAUCACUUUAUUAUUAAAGCUCCGGCGGUUCGGGAUGGGCGUGCGGCUGAUUAGGUAGUUGGUUGAGGUAACGGCUCACCAAGCCUACGAUCAGUAACUGGUGUGAGAGCACGACCAGUCACACGGGCACUGAGACACGGGCCCGAAUCCGACGGGAGGCAGCAGUAAGGAAUAUUAGGGAAGGGAGGCAAAUCUGACCCAGCCAUGCCGCGUGGAGGAUGAAGGGCCUCUGGGUUGUAAACUUCUUUUAAAGGGGACGAAACCUGUGUAUUCUUACGCAGUUGACGGUACCCUAGGAAUAAGCACCGGCUAACUCCGUG
rnacentral:rRNA from 1 species